UGUGAAGUUACUUAAACAACCAGGAGGUUGGCUUAGAAGCAGCCAUCCUUUAAAGAAAGCGUAAUAGCUCACUGGUCUAGUGAUUUUGCGCGGAAAAUAUAACGGGGCUAAAGUAAGUACCGAAGCUGUAGACUUAGUUUACUAAGUGGUAGGAGAGCGUUCUAUUUGCGUCGAAGGUAUACCGGUAAGGAGUGCUGGAGCGAAUAGAAGUGAGCAUGCAGGCAUGAGUAGCGAUAAUUAAUGUGAGAAUCAUUAACGCCGUAAACCCAAGGUUUCCUACGCGAUGCUCGUCAUCGUAGGGUUAGUCGGGUCCUAAGUCGAGUCCGAAAGGGGUAGACGAUGGCAAAUUGGUUAAUAUUCCAAUACCAACAUUAGUGUGCGAUGGAAGGACGCUUAGGGCUAAGGGGGCUAGCGGAUGGAAGUGCUAGUCUAAGGUCGUAGGAGGUUAUACAGGCAAAUCCGUAUAACAAUACUCCGAGAACUGAAAGGCUUUUUGAAGUCUUCGGAUGGAUAGAAGAACCCCUGAUGCCGUCGAGCCAAGAAAAGUUUCUAAGUUUAGCUAAUGUUGCCCGUACCGUAAACCGACACAGGUGGGUGGGAUGAGUAUUCUAAGGCGCGUGGAAGAACUCUCUUUAAGGAACUCUGCAAAAUAGCACCGUAUCUUCGGUAUAAGGUGUGGUUA
rnacentral:rRNA from 1 species